rnacentral:rRNA from 1 species
AACGAACGCUGGCGGCAGGCCUAACACAUGCAAGUCGAGCGGAUCCUUCGGGAUUAGCGGCGGACGGGUGAGUAACGCGUGGGAAUAUGCCCUUCUCUACGGAAUAGCCUCGGGAAACUGGGAGUAAUACCGUAUACGCCCCACGGGGGAAAGAUUUAUCGGAGAAGGAUUAGCCCGCGUUGGAUUAGGUAGUUGGUGGGGUAAUGGCCUACCAAGCCUACGAUCCAUAGCUGGUUUGAGAGGAUGAUCAGCCACACUGGGACUGAGACACGGCCCAGACUCCUGCGGGAGGCAGCAGUGGGGAAUCUUAGACAAUGGGGGAAACCCUGAUAUAGCCAUGCCGCGUGAGUGAUGAAGGCCUUAGGGUUGUAAAGCUCUUUCAGCUGGGAAGAUAAUGACGGUACCAGCAGAAGAAGCCCCGGCUAACUCCGUGCCAGCCGCCGCCGUAAUAC